CACCGCCUGUCACACUAUAGGAGCUGGCCAUGUUUGAAGUCAUUACCCUUAACCGUAAGGAGGGGAAUGCCUAAGGCAAGGCUUGCGACUGGAGUGAAGUCGUAACAAGGUAGCCGUACUGGAAGGUGCGGCUG
rnacentral:ncRNA from 2 species